rnacentral:rRNA from 1 species
AACCUUUACACUGCACGACAGUGCGAUAAGGGAAUCCCAAGUGCGUAGGCAUAGAGCCUGCGCUUUUGUCCACCGUAGGGAGGUGGACGAAUAAGGGCUGGGCAAGACCGGUGCCAGCCGCCGCGGUAAUACCGGCAGCCCGAGUGAUGGCCGAUCUUAUUGGGCCUAAAGCGUCCGUAGCUGGCCGCGCAAGUCUAUCGGAAAAUCCACCCGCUCAACGGGUGGGCGUCCGGUAGAAACUGCGUGGCUUGGGACCGGAAGGCGCGACGGGUACGUCCGGGGUAGGAGUGAAAUCCCGUAAUCCUGGACGGACCGCCGAUGGCGAAAGCACGUCGCGAAGACGGAUCCGACAGUGAGGGACGAAAGCUAGGGUCUCGAACCGGAUUAGAUACCCGGGUAGUCCUAGCCGUAAACAAUGCCUGCUAGGUGUGGCUCCCACUACGAGUGGGUGCUGUGCCGUAGGGAAGCCGCUAAGCAGGCCGCCUGGGAAGUACGUCCGCAAGGAUGAAACUUAA